GAAUAAGCUUGUUGAUCUUGGAUAAUCUUUGUGUCAACUUGAUGGAUUUAAAAUAAGCAUCAUCUUUCAGCAACAUGAUAAAGAACUGAAACAGACAGUGGCCUUCAAGUGAUGUUGAGAGGACCAUUUGAAUGGCUGAUUCUUAAGAACACGAGGAAAGCCAAAGAAUGCUGAAGACUUCAAGAGGAGUCUAUGCAGUUAUAGCCCUUUUUGGUGAUACUUAGAAGUUGCUUGAAGGUCCACCAUAAAUAAAAGGUCAAUGGCG
ensembl:lincRNA